CCUACGGGUGGCAGCAGUGGGGAAUAUUGGACAAUGGGGGCAACCCUGAUCCAGCAAUGCCGCGUGUGUGAAGAAGGCCUGCGGGUUGUAAAGCACUUUGAGUAGGAAAGAAGGGCUGGAGGCUAAUACCCUUUGGCAUUGACGUUACCUACAGAACAAGCACCGGCUAACUCCGUGCCAGCAGCCGCGGUAAUACGGAGGGUGCGAGCGUUAAUCGGAAUUACUGGGCGUAAAGCGCGCGUAGGCGGUUUAGUCAGUCUGAUGUGAAAGCCCUGGGCUUAACCUGGGAACUGCAUUGGAUACUGCUAGGCUAGAGUGUGAUAGAGGGUAGUGGAAUUUCCGGUGUAGCAGUGAAAUGCGUAGAGAUCGGAAGGAACACCAGUGGCGAAGGCGGCUACCUGGGUCAACACUGACGCUGAGGUGCGAAAGCGUGGGGAGCAAACAGGAUUAGAUACCCGUGUAGUC
rnacentral:rRNA from 1 species